ACUGAAGGGAAGUUGAGCCACCAUGUUAAAGGAAGGGAAAAUGCAGAGUAACAGGCACUGCAACAUUGGAAAGAGUGCUGCACUUGGCAUUUGACAUCCCGGCUCUGCUUCUCAUGAAUUGGGUCCCUUUGCAAGCAGCUUCAUCUCUGUGAGUUUCAGGUUCCUCAUUUGUAAAUUGUAGAUAAAUCACUACCU
rnacentral:lncRNA from 1 species